rnacentral:misc_RNA from 1 species
UUAAUUUGUAUAUAUUUUAUUCAGAAUUAACGUUAUAAUAUUCCCAUCACUAUAACCUGGCUGGUGAAUCUAUAUUUUGACAUAUUCCUUCCGUCUUUUAUUGUUCAUUCAUUAUAAUUAUUACGUAAUAAUGAAGUUAAAGCCGAUUGUAUAUUUUGUACUAUGACGUCAUUACAAUAAAAUCCACCCUCAAUUACAAAUGAUCCUUCAACCGUUGAUGGUUAUUUGCGCCCAUGAAUUAAGUAAGUACAAACGCACUCUAUUUUCUAAGUACUAUUAUUAAUGGAGUGCAAUUAUUUAAACGCUCUACAAGAAGAAGAAAUUCGUCAUUAAUAAUCAAUUAAUAUGAAUGUGCUUGGAUCCAAGGAAGUGUACGAUUUAUGGAAAAUGAUUUUUAUCAUUUAACGGGGUUAACAUCGUAUGAAGAGUGAUAUUCCAGACGUUAUUUUUUUUUCGUGGACAGACAAAUCAUAAAUUGAAGAAUUGGUCUUAAUAUAUCCAUAUUAGUUAUACCUAUUUCAAGAUAUAUUUUUGUUCUAAGCACAGUCAAAAGAAUGUUCCAUCUUGUUCAGAGAGCCUUAUUUGUUUUAGUCAUUUUUUAUUUACCAAUGUCAUGGAGUACUACUACUACAGAAACAAGUGACAAAGGUAUUCUUCACUCAUUUGAAACGGACUUCGAUGGCUGGACAGUUGAAAAUAAUUCGUGGGAGCGUAUAUCAAUUGACGAACUAAAAAGUAUCCAUAACAGAACACUACCGAAUCUAAAGGAAUCUAAUAGUACUGUUGAAAAUGCAUUUCUACUCAUUCCAUCCCGGCAUCUAAAUGACACUACUACAAUAGCUUUAAUGAAGAAGGACAUAGUUGUGAGCAGGAACUCUGUGCUGGAAGUAUUUUUCAGUGCAUUAGCUUUGGGCUGGGAAGAGAAGGAUUCAAUGUUUUCUUCUGAUAAUCCAGUCCUUGAAGUCAUUUACGACGAUGUUAUGGUUUUUAAACUGGACUCAGCCAUUAGAGACAAUAUAAAAUAUUUUUCUCCCAACAAAUGGAAUCAAUUCCGAUUAUUCUCAAGCUAUAAGUAUGAAUUCAAUAUGUCGAUUUCAAUAUUCGGUAAAAAAGGUUUAGCAUCAAAUAUCCUUGCUUUAGAUAACAUUAUCAUAAAGCAAACAUCUCUUGUAUCAUCCAACAACACGGGAUCUGAGCCCGAAAUGGAUGUUAAACAAUAUGAUGGUGAAUGGGAGAGACUUGUGUCAUCAUUGAAGGAGGAAUUGAAAAAAAUUUCAACAAAUGGCUCAAUUCCAUCAAAGCCUGAGUUUUGUGAUUUAGACAAUGAAAUAGGGCCAUGUGAUGGAAGAUGGAUUCGAUAUUAUUACAACAGAACUACUGAGAACUGCGAGUCCUUUACUUAUGGGGGUUGCAAUGGAAACGGCAACAACUUUAACAUCAAAGCAGCCUGCGAGUCCAUAUGCAAGAAUCCACCUUUGAGCGAAGAUGAAAUGUUUUUACAAGAAAGUAACAAGAGCUAUUCCCUCUCUCUGGACUUCGAAAAAGAGUUUUCACUCCAAGAUGAUGGAUGGACGGUUAGACACUUUGAAAGGAUCGAUUUUGAUAACUCGACUUUGAAUAUUUCCGCUAAUAAUUCCGAUUCUCAUUAUGGGGCUUCACCAAAUUAUGAACCAAAUACAAUUUUUAGGCGGCCAACGCUCAUUCAUUCUAUAGAUCUCAUACCCAAUCGAGAUUUGAAUAUAAAUUUCAGCCUCAUUUUGAUUGGAGACGUCAAUAUACAUAUCCAUCCAUUUUUUGAGCAUUUAAACCCGGGGUUUAAAAUAUAUAUUGGAGAUGUUAUGGUGUUUGAUUUCUUGUCAGCUGGAAUAUUAGAUAAGCAAUGGCACAAUUAUUCAAUUUGGCAGAAGACAAAUAAUAUUCUUGAUAGUCCUCAUCUCACUAACUUUGGAAAUAAAGAACAAAUUCUACGAAUUGAAUCUUGGAAAGGAAGUGCUUUAGACAAUAGUGAAGUUGUGAUUUUGGAUGAUUUUUCCCUGAAGCAAGAGCUACUUCAACACGAGUUGCCUUCGUCUUCUACUCCAAAAGUCCCAAAAACAACCAAAGUUAUAUCCCUUGAUGAAUCGACAACAGCUUCCACUACAAUCAAUGUACCAACUACCUUGCUUCAGGAAAUAACUUCUUUUAAAAGUGAUGCAGAUGAUAAUUUUCCUUGUGAUCUUCCAAUGAAUUCAGGUCCUUGUAGAGGAAACUUUAUACGUUAUUAUUUCGACACUGCUUCAGAAAAGUGUCUAGAGUUUUCGUAUGGAGGCUGUAAAGGAAAUGCUAAUAGAUUUAAGGCUAAAAAAGAUUGUUAUUCCCUAUGUCCGCAUAGAGAUAAAUCUAAGGCAAUAAUAGAUUCAUGUAAACUUCCUAGAGAUCCAGGGGAUGUAAAGUGUAGCUUCUAUUCGGAGCGAUAUUUUUUUGACUCACAACUUGGCAAAUGCCUGAUAUUUCUUUAUAGUGGUUGUGGAGGAAAUAGUAAUAAUUUUAAAAGUAGGAAAGAAUGCAAAAAUAAAUGCUCUAUUGACGAGGACUCGAGAUCAAUAGCGAAAAAAACAUUCCUGAGACUCACUGGGUCAGUUAAACGAGAUAAAUUUCCAAGCCGACAAGAAUGUUUAAAACCAGCUGAGGUAGGCCCAUGUGGAGGAAACUAUGUAGCCUUUGCAUAUGACUUAAACAAAAAUGAUUGUGUUCGCUUUAUUUAUGGAGGUUGUGGAGGAAAUGAUAAUCGGUUUUAUACCAUUGAUAAGUGUCGAGCUGUUUGUCAAAAAAAAGAAAGUGAAGAAUCAUUUGGAUUUGGAAGAUCCUUGCAAUGACAUUAUACCAAAGCAAAAAAAAGAAACAGCACUGUACUAACAGAUAUUUUUAUGAUCCAAGGUCCAAAAGAUGCUACUCAGGCUGCCCUUCUCUAAAAGUAAAGGGAUUUGUAUCAAGAGCCUCAUGUUUUAAAAGCUGUGCUCCCGCGAGUUCAGUGAGUACUACUGUAAUGCCUGAGCUUUUAAUUACACCUAAUGUUAAAUGUACUGUUCCUCUGAGUACGGGAAGCAAUUUAUGUAACGAUUCGCUGAUCAGAUUUUACUUUGAUCAGUCGACUAACACUUGUGAAAAGUUUAUUUACACAGGCUGUGGUGUCCAUAAUGGAAAUAUCUUUCCAACGAAAGAAGUAUGUGCAGCGGUGUGUAGAGUCCCUGUUGGUGAAGGAAGUCCUUGUUACUCGCCAAAGGAUGUUGGUUCAUCGAAAUGUGACGCAGCUAAAUCUAUUCGUUAUUAUUUUGACUUUUGGAAAGAGACUUGCUUACCCUUUGAGUUUUUGGGCUGUAACGGUAAUAAGAACAAUUUUGUGGAUUUCCAAUCUUGCAAUACGUCAUGCAACUUCAUCAACGAGUCAAUACCAUCUUCAGCACCAGAUAUGAGCAUAUCCACAAUCAAUGCACCUACUGUCGCAGAGGUAGUACUGGGCGUAAUAUUGAUCAUUUUAUUCACCAUUGGCAUUGUUAUGGGAUUAAAAUACUAUAGAGUACAGAAAGACUAUGGACUCUUUAGAAACGAAAGUGCCAGGUCUUCGAAUGCAGGAGUGGCAAAUAUUGCCUACGACAACCCUACAUACAGCACGAACGAAAAUAAUUUUCAGUUAAAAACCCCUGUGGAAACUUCGUCAGAAGCUUAAAUAAUAACUCAAUUAAUGUAGUAUUUAACAUACAUUUAUAUUCUUUUGUUGGUGAAUAAAUUGUUAACAUAAAAUUUCAUAUGUUUAAGAAAUCAUUAUUUAAAUAGAGAACAACGUCUUAACGUCCCUUCUUAGCCUUGAUUUUACGGAGGUAGAAUUCGAGUUCUUUACCCUCAAGAAUGUAUCCAUCGGCUCUUCCGCACUGACCGGGUCUUGAGGAGACUGAGGCGAGGAGA